rnacentral:rRNA from 1 species
UACGUAGGGUGCAAGCGUUAAUCGGAAUUACUGGGCGUAAAGCGUGCGCAGGCGGUUUUGUAAGUCUGUCGUGAAAGCCCCGGGCUCAACCUGGGAAUUGCGAUGGAGACUGCAAGGCUUGAAUCUGGCAGAGGGGGGUAGAAUUCCACGUGUAGCAGUGAAAUGCGUAGAGAUGUGGAUGAACACCGAUGGCGAAGUCAGCCCCCUGGGUCAAGAUUGACGCUCAUGCACGAAAGCGUGGGGAGCAAACAGG